AGAAUCUACAGGUCGAGCAAGUCUCGUAAAUUUCACGAUUGCGAGCCACGCUUCACGCAACCGUGUUUGCGUACUUGUGUUUCGAGUUGCGUGGUCGUGCGGAGUUAUAUUUACCAAAUUUAAAUGUUUCUACUUCUUCUCUUCAUUUGAAUGGCCUUAGCUGCCAGGGCUAUCCGGCCAGAAAAUGUUUCUACUGAUUCAUACGCUGUCAAAAUUAAAUCAAUAUGGCUACUGGGUGUAAAAGAUAAAUCUUAUUCUAUCUGUUCUUAAUGAGUUUUAGAUAAUUUUAGUUGUAUUUCUUUGUAAUUUUGUGUUGUACAAAGAUUAAUUUAACAUUUUCUCUGGAAGUAUUAAUUUAGAAAGAUAAUAUGCUUCAUUGGUGUUGUGUUUUGAAGUGUGAAAUGCAAAGUAAUUGUGAUAAAGUCAAGAUAAAGUUCACUUUUAAACUGAACUAAAUAAGGUAUCUGAGAGACAACAAUGGUUAAAUGCAAUACAAUGUACAGGUUUUACUAGCGAAAUGAAAAUUUUCCUGUCCUGUCUGCUGUAAUCAUUUUAUAUCUGGAAAACCAGCCGACUUAAUCGAUAAUAACAAUCUCCAGAUUGGGUUCCUUCAAUAAAUAUGGGCUAUUAACACAAUGAAAUAAGUUCCAGAAAAUCUAAAAUGGAGUGGUAUCAAAGGAGAAUUAAAGGAAAAAAUAUUCAUAUUGAAAUUAUUUAUAAGGCACUGGACUGUCUUAAAUUCUACAAUAAUACUAGAAUCAGCUGAGAGAAGUGGUCUACAAAAAACCAGGAAGGAAACGGAAUAUGUGGCUACGAAAGGCAAAAGAAAGGUUUACAAAGCAAAUGUGACACAUUUUUUUGAAAUAUUUAGGAAUAUCAGUAAAUUGCAUUAAAAAAAU
rnacentral:lncRNA from 1 species